rnacentral:ncRNA from 1 species
UGUAUUCGGGUCUGUGGUUGAAAGCCGAUGCCAGACGCGGGCAAAGCGGUCCACGUAAACCGGACAAAGCUCCGGCGAGCAUGGCGCGUUCUAGUCGUAAGUCCGACCGUUCCUUACGGGGCGAGAGAGGGCGCGUAGGGCGCUUACGCGAUGAGCAGACCCUCCUGUCGGCGAAUGUGGGGUCAAAGACCAGGUCAGCCGGAUGCA